AUUGUUUCUCUUUUUAUGACAAAACCAUGUGGAGCUUAUGUGCUUAAGGAGUAUUAGGUAAAAUUGACAAUUAGUGAUGACACGAGAAAAGUGAUGGUGAACAUCUUGGUUGCACACAUGAUUGAGACAGAAGGAAUCCCACACUGACUUACCAAGCAGAAGUAUGCACUGGGAAUAAUCACUUUGUUUCCCUCACUCAGAGAUCCUCAAGAGAGGACUGGAUUUGAACAUUUUUAUGAUGGCCAGAAAAACACUGGAUUCUUGUUAUGGCGCCUAAAGACAGUUCAAAGGGGAACAAAACCCCAAAACCAUGCAAGUAAGGAUGAUCCAAGGACAGAGGAAACAGGUGGUCUGUUGCUUGGAAGACAGAUGUGUUACCAUGAUGAUCAGCUAGAUGAUGAUCGAAGUCUAGAGGCCAUCUCUUUGAUGAACCAUACAAGUGACAGAGAAGUCAUCAUGCAGAAGAUGAGAGCAACUUUUGUAUACAGACAGCACCUUGUCCAUAAUCCAGAGAAAUCCUCCACCAUUUUCUGUUUUUCCUUGGCUGCUGGACACUAAGGGAUUGGCUUCAGGAAGAAAGAAAACCCAGAAGAUCAGCAUUGCUCAUGCUAUUGAUCAUCUGGUCAUAUUUCACAAAUCAUGCCGGAGUCUUCAGGAGCACACUGAGACUGAAGAGAAUUGUCAAACAUACCUUCUCGCCUCAGGGACCAGCAAGGAGGCCAUCAGUCAGUUCUUCAUUGUGGUUGAUAAAAAGCUCAUCCCCUGUCAAGCAUCCUCUUCACUGGCAGCAAUGGAUGAACUUUUCAAGAUCCACUUUGUUUUCAGCAUUUGUUAUGAUCUUCCACUCAGAAACAUGUAUAGGUUUCUCCAGACUACAGUCUACAAUAUUGAUGUUGGCAACACCAGCCAAAUUCAUGAAUGAUGUUUAAAUGCUACAUCUGUCAAUCACUGCUUACCACAACUGUUAAAUUAAUUUGGCACCUUAUGCUUUUACAUGGCUUGUAUCCAGUCAAGAAUUUUGAACUUGUUUGUGUUCAGGAUGGUUGUUCAUUUCAAUUUAGAAGUUUUGCUGGGUUUAGAAAAUAUUUGAAUACAUUCCAUUUCAAUGUAGCAUCAGGCAGUGCCAGCGUAUGCCUACCAAAUCUCUCUGAAGUAGUGUCACAUGGUGGAUCUGACUCCGAUCAAGGUUUACUAGAUCAAGAUGCAGAUCUGCAAGAAUUGGAUCCAGUUUCAAGGGAUCAGUCCAGAGAAAUGUGUGCAUCCAUUAUAGCAAAAUUGCAGGGUAAUGGUGUUGCAAACAGUGUUAUUGUGUCAGCUACUGAAACCAUGGAGUAUUUUGUCAAUGAUUUUCAUACAAGUUUAAAGGAAAAAGUUCUAAAUGUUGUGCCUGUUGAUAACCCCAGCAGAAGUUCAGUGGUUUUCACAAUUUGUUCUCUGUCUUGAAUACUGACACAAAAUAGAGAAAAUAUUUUAGUGAGAAAUGGGGGGUGGUUGAACCUAUUGAAGUGCACUUAGGUGUCCGAAACGAUUCAAGAAGAAAUACAAUUUCUGGAAUGUAUGAACAGAUUCCAGUCAGUGAUACUUUCAUAUAUGUUCCUCUUCUAAAGACCCUCGAGUUCAUUUUCAGGAAAGUUGAAGUGUGUAAACUUAUUCAAGAAAAACGCCAUAGUAAUAUGUAUCAAGAUUUUUGUGAUGGACUGUAUUACAGAAACCAUUCUUUGUACUCAAUUUACAGCAAUCCAGAUCUACUAUGAUAAUUUUGAGACUGCAAACACAUUGGGGUCUAAACAAGGCAUUCACAAGCUUGGCUGUUUAUAUUUUGUGCUUCGGAACAUGCCACCAUGCCUAAAUUCCUCAUUGAUGAACAUACAUCUCACUUCUUUGUUCCAUUCUCAAGAUGUAAAAACGUAUGACAUGGACAAUAUUCUUGGUCCAUUGGUUGAUGAUGUGAAAGUGCUUGAGCAGAAGGGAAUGACAGUGACAUUUUCUGAGUCAAUCAAUCUUUGGUACUAUUUCACAAAUUACAGGUGACAAUCUUGGACUGAAUAGUAUUCUUGUUUACAUGGAGCCUUUUACUGCAAAACAUUACUGUAGGUGGUGCCUUAUUGACAAGGUUUCAGCCCAGACAGUUUUUAGUGAAGAUGAUCUGCAGGUGAUUUUAUGGAACAGAACGCUAAAUGAGAUGCAUUACAGAUACCUUGCUGAGAACCCAGAAGAAAGCUCAUAUUAUGGGAUUAAAAUAAAUUGUAUACUUAAUACCUUGACACACUUCAAUGUAUCUGAUAAUUUUGUGUUGGACAUUAUGCACAAUAUGUCAAACUGCUUUUUCAAUAUAUGAGUCAAAAUCAGAUUUCCAGAGAUUCCAUCCUCAGAGGGUGUAUGCCUUCAAUUAUGGGUUCUUAAACAGAAAGAAUCACCCAACAAAGAUCAACCUUCAACAAACAGGCAAUAGCAUUGGACUUAAUGCAAGUCAGAUGUUGUGUCUGAUUAGGAACAUUCCUCUCAUAUUUGGAGAUGUUGUCCCAGAGGGUGAUAAACACUGGCAUUUGAUGUUGCUGCUGUUACAUAUUGUUGACAUUAUAUUUUCUACUUGCAUUUCAGAAGGAAUGACAAUAUUUCUGAAACAUCUUCAGAGCAUCAUCGCUUAUUCAGAGAGUUGUAUCCUACUAAGAAUCUAAUUCCAAAGCAUCACCACAUGAUUCACUACCCUGAAUGCAUCAGGCAGAUUGGCCCUUUGCUUCAUGUAUGGACAAUGAGAUAUGAAGCAAAACACAGGUUUUUUAAGAACAAUCUAAAACAAUUUAAAAACCUGACCAAAUCGCUUGCAAAGAAACACCAAGUAGCUAUUGCUUAUCACUGGGAGUCCUAUAAUAUAAAAGGUAUUGAGUCUGGUCCUGUUUCAGAUGAGUUGUUGUCUAAUCCUGAAAACUGUGAUUUCAUUUCUGAGCAUUUCCAGCUUGAAAUGUCCAGUCACACCAUGGGUUAAAUGCCAUGGUAUUGAAUAUCCCACUGGCCUUGUUGUUUGCUUAGAUGUGUUCAAUGACACACCUGUCUUUGGAAAAAUAGUUAACAUUUUUUUGAGAGGUGGAAUUUAUUUAUUAGUAUCAUACAUGGAUUCAGUGUUUGUUGAGCAUGUUCAUGCAUUUCAUGUUGUUGAGCAAGAGCAUAACCUUGUUCUCAAAAAACCUGAAGAUUUGUUUUACUACAAGCCAUUUGAUUUGCAAAUGUUUUAUGGCAGUGACACUUUGUUUUAUGUUGUUUUGGACUGUUAUUUGUAGUAAAUGUGUUCAACAUCAAUACAGGCACAUUUAACUGAUUUUGCUCUGCUGGGGAAUAAAGUAAUAAAAGAAUG